AUAUAUAUAUAUAUAUAUAUAUGUAUGUAUAUAUAUGUAUAUGUAUAUGUAUGUAUAAAAUAUCAAUGUGCAUACUUAGAUCUUGUUUGCUGACUUAAAUACGUUGAACUAUAAUAUGACAAUUGUUGGAAAAUGCGCUUAAAAUUUUAUGUAGAAAUUCACAAGUCGCCUUCAAAGAUUAAGAAAUAUAAUUUAUAUGAUAUAGAGAUAGAUAUAUUUUAUGAGAAACAAGAGAUAUAUAUUAUAUAUGUCGAUAUAUUCGAUGAAAAUAUGUGAUAUGUGUAUAAAAAUAAUGACCGAUUUUUUUUAGAACUCCAAAAUCGUUGUUUAAAUUAAAUCGACGGACGUAAUGACUAAAAAUCUUUCUACUUACUACACACAUCGGAAUUUUAUAUAUUAAUAUUUACGAUCUUCAUAUUUUGACAAUUGUUCCAUUCGAAAAAAUUACAUUACGCUGCGUGAAACGGUUUGUAGACAUUUGUUUAUUUUAUGGCUUUUUAAUACAUUCAAGUGUUUAACACAUUCAGCUUAGUACUAAUGAGCAUUGAACGUCAACAUGACGAAUUUGUUAAGUACCCUGGUGAAAACUUUUCUUAAUUUUGUAUAUAAUUUUUUAAAGAAUUUCUGCUUAAUUUUAUAACCCAGAAAAUUUUGAGAUUUUUUAUACAAAUUAGAAUAUUCUUCAGAAAUAAUAAGAAAGUCUACAUCUAUUUUUGAAUUCUUUAUAUAUGUAAAUUCUCAAAAAUUUAUAAAACUUGUCAUUGUCUAAAAUUUCCCCCAAAAACUUAUAAAAUUUGAACAAAAAUUUAAGCUAUUUUUUUGGAAGUGAUAAGUUUAAAAUAUGAAAAAUUCUUACAAAAAGUAUUACAAGAGAAUUUUUUCACUAGGGUAAUUUAUAUAUUCUAUUUUUUAGCGUUGUUACGUCGAUCGAAAUUAAAUUCAAUAACAUCAUGUUAAAUCUUAUUCACAGGAAUUAUAAUAUCAAUAUUUAACUGCAAUUUAUACAGUCUUUCCACUGUUACAAAGUAUUUCUCUGAAUUAUCUGUCGAUACACACAAAUAAAGAAAUAGAAAGUUACUGUUAUUCGGUAGAUAUAUCCUCAUAUCAUUUAACUGAAUAAUAAAUGUUAUAUAAUUACAUAAAUACAUGUAAAUAUUAUGCAAAAAAUUGCAAUGAUUACAAAAUCACCGUCCUAAUCCCGUCUUCUCUUCUUAAAAACUCUGUAUGUAAUAUAUGUAUAAUAGUAAAUAUGAUAGUAUUAUAUAAAGUGGACACGACAAAUAAACAGCAAUAAAAUGUUUCGAAAAAACUAAUUUCUAUUUCUCUAAAUACGUUUACAAUUAUUGUUUUAAAGAAAGAAAAAUAUUUUGUCGCAUAAAUUUAUAUAUCUUAAAGCGUUUUGUAAUAACCACUUGAUUGUAAUGCCAGCUGGCAAAUGGAUUACUUAGUAGUUUUAUGUUAAUAAUUAUGACGACGAAGAAAUCGUCCUCGCUUGAAACUCACUCUGAAUCGCGAUGAUAUGAAAUCCAAGACUGGUGUAUACAGUAGAAUCCACUGAUUAAUGCCCGAUUUCUUCACGUCCAGUUAUCUUGCGGUUAAAAUUAUCCAGGAGAUAAACUUUCAGAUCCAUGCACGUGAUUGGUUAAACUUGAUAUUUAUCCUCCGGAUAACUUUAUCAGGAAGUGAAGCCAUGAAAUAUCACGUUAACCUCGAAAUCACACGGUGUUCUCUUAUCUUACAAAUGUUACAAAUAAUGUAAAUAAACGAGACAUAAAUAUUAACAUAAAACUACUGUAAUCCGUUUGCCAGCUGAUAUUACAAUCAAGUGGAUUGUCGUGAUACAAAGAUGUUGACUGUUGCAAUAAAACGUGACUUGCUGUUCGAAACAUUGGGUAAAACAUAUUCUCAUUUUACAUAUUAGACAAACAUCAUGCUCUGACUGAAUGUCAAUGAAGCGAAUUGAGAAGGAGUGUGUUUGUUUGAAGACAAUGAAAAAGCAAAUGAUAGCAAGAGUAGUUUUGACCAAGGUAUAGAUGCAUCCGAAGAAAUUAUCUACAAGAUUGACACGCCUGCCAACAGAUAUUAUCUGUUGUGCUUGGAGCCUAAGUACUGGACUACUUAUAUUUUUGAACAAAACAUACAAAAGAACUGCAAUUGGUAAUAAAAAGCAACACACAUAAUGCAAAUUACACAAGAACUGCAUAAAGGAUAUGUGCCAGGACUCUUUAAAUUUCACUUUUUAAAUGUUCCUUCACCUAUGGCUGAAUGCCUAUAUAUAAAGUCUUUUUUUCUAAACAUGAUGUUCAUUCCACAUUAUAUGGCAAUAAAACCAAAGGAAUGGAAAAGAUUAUAAUGACUUCAGAAUGCUUAAAAAUAAGAGGACAUUUGGUUGUUUCAAUUUUGAGAGACGUUACUUUGACGCAAGAUUCUUACAAUAAUUUUAUUGAUCUUCAAGAUAAGUUGCAUCAAAAUAUAGGAAGAAGACAGUCUGGUCUCUAUUGGCACUUAUGAUUUGGAUACAAUUAAAGGUCCAUUUCUAUAUGGUGCUAGACACCAUCAAAAAUACAGUUCAAACCACUCAAUCGAGAUAAGCAGUUUUCACUAAACAAGUUGACUGACUUGAUUCGAAUAGAAAGGGCCCAGACAGGAUUCACUGAGGCAUUGACUUUCUCUUUGUGCUCACGUGAGAAUGUAGCGGACAAAUUGGGAUACGAAAUAGAAGAUGUACCGGCAGUUCACAUAUCCAAUCCAAAAACUUUGGAGUUUCAAAUAAAUCGACCGAUACCGCGCGGUUUUAUUAAAACCUCGGAAACAAGUAGUUCUAUUCUUGAUUUCUCUUUUUUAUUUGAAACAAUACAUGUGUGUAAUAGAACGUAAACAGAUAUCGUUAUGCGUUUAAAUAAAAAAAAAUUGACAAAGAA
rnacentral:misc_RNA from 1 species